rnacentral:rRNA from 1 species
ACGCCGCGUGAGGGAUGACGGCCUUCGGGUUGUAAACCUCUUUCAGWAGGGACGAAGCGCAAGUGACGGUACCUGCAGAAGAAGCACCGGCCAACUACGUGCCAGCAGCCGCGGUAAUACGUAGGGUGCGAGCGUUGUCCGGAAUUAUUGGGCGUAAAGGGCUCGUAGGCGGUUUGUCGCGUCGGGAGUGAAAACACCGGGCUUAACACGGCGCUUGCUUUCGAUACGGGCAGACUAGAGGUAUUCAGGGGAGAACGGAAUUCCUGGUGUAGCGGUGAAAUGCGCAGAUAUCAGGAGGAACACCGGUGGCGAAGGCGGUUCUCUGGGAAUGACCUGACGCUGAGGAGCGAAAGUGUGGGGAGCGAACAGGAUUAGAUACCCUGGUAGUCCACACCGUAAACGUUGGGCGCUAGGUGUGGGGUCCAUUCCACGGAUUCCGUGCCGCAGCUAACGCAUUAAGCGCCCCGCCUGGGGAGUACGGCCGCAAGGCUAAAACUCAAA